GACGGAGGGCGCAAGCGUUGUUCGGAAUUACUGGGCGUAAAGCGCGCGCAGGCGGGAAGGUAAGUCUGGAGUGAAAUUCCGGGGCUCAACUCCGGAGCUGCUUUGGAUACUGUCUUUCUAGGGACCGGUAGAGGCCGGUGGAAUUCCCGGUGUAGCGGUGGAAUGCGUAGAGAUCCGGAAGAACACCGGUGGCGAAGGCGGCCUGCUGGGCAGUUGCUGACACUGAGGCGCGACAGCGUGGGGAGCAAACAGG
rnacentral:rRNA from 1 species